GGCUGCGAGCUGCGCUCAUCACCCUGUGACAUACCUAUAACGUUGCCUCGGCGGGAACAGACGGCCCCGUAACACGGGCCGCCCCCGCCAGAGGACCCCCUAACUCUGUUUCUAUAAUGUUUCUUCUGAGUAAACAAGCAAAUAAAUUAAAACUUUCAACAACGGAUCUCUUGGCUCUGGCAUCGAUGAAGAACGCAGCGAAAUGCGAUAAGUAAUGUGAAUUGCAGAAUUCAGUGAAUCAUCGAAUCUUUGAACGCACAUUGCGCCCGCCAGUAUUCUGGCGGGCAUGCCUGUUCGAGCGUCAUUACAACCCUCAGGCCCCCGGGCCUGGCGUUGGGGAUCGGCGGAAGCCCCCUGCGGGCACAACGCCGUCCCCCAAAUACAGUGGCGGUCCCGCCGCAGCUUCCAUUGCGUAGUAGCUAACACCUCGCAACUGGAGAGCGGCGCGGCCACGCCGUAAAACACCCAACUUCUGAAUGUUGACCUCGAAUCAGGUAGGAAUACCCGCUGAACUUAAGCAUAUCAAAAA
rnacentral:rRNA from 1 species